UGCACCAUCGUCUAAUUGGAAUAGGACACCAGCCCUUCAAGCUGGAGAUUGCGGGUUCAAGUCCCGUUGGUGUAA
rnacentral:tRNA from 1 species